GACGAACGCUGGCGGCGUGCUUAACACACGCAAGUCGAACGGAAAGGCCCUGCUUUUGUGGGGUGCUCGAGUGGCGAACGGGUGAGUAACACGUGAGUAACCUGCCCUUGACUUUGGGAUAACUUCAGGAAACUGGGGCUAAUACCGGAUAGGAGCUCCUGCUGCAUGGUGGGGGUUGGAAAGUUUCGGCGGUUGGGGAUGGACUCGCGGCUUAUCAGCUUGUUGGUGGGGUAGUGGCUUACCAAGGCUUUGACGGGUAGCCGGCCUGAGAGGGGGACCGGCCACAUUGGGACUGAGAUACGGCCCAGACUCCUACGGGAGGCAGCAGUGGGGAAUAUUGCACAAUGGGCGGAAGCCUGAUGCAGCAACGCCGCGUGCGGGAUGACGGCCUUCGGGUUGUAAACCGCUUUCGCCUGUGACGAAGCGUGAGUGACGGUAAUGGGUAAAGAAGCACCGGCUAACUACGUG
rnacentral:rRNA from 1 species